rnacentral:rRNA from 1 species
CCUACGGGUGGCAGCAGUGAGGAAUAUUGGUCAAUGGGCGCGAGCCUGAACCAGCCAAGUAGCGUGAAGGAUGACUGCCCUACGGGUUGUAAACUGCUUUUAUAAAGGAAUAAAGUGAGGCACGUGUGCCUUUUUGUAUGUACUUUAUGAAUAAGGAUCGGCUAACUCAGUGCCAGCAGCCGCGGUAAGAAGGAGGAUCCGAGCGUUAUCCGGAUUUAUUGGGUUUAAAGGGAGCGUAGAUGGGUUGUUAAGUCAGUUGUGAAAGUUUGCGGCUCAACCGUAAAAUUGCAAUUGAUACUGGCAGCCUUGAGUACAGGUGAGGUAGGCAGAAUUCGUGGUGUAGCGGUGAAAUGCUUAGAUAUCACGAAGAACUCCGAUUGCGAAGGCAGCUUACUAAACUGCCACUGACAUUGAUGCUCGAAAGUGUGGGUAUCAAACAGGAUUAGAUACCCUGGUAGUC